UACGGGCCCGCAGCAGGCGCGAAACCUCUGCAAUAGGCGAAAGCCUGACAGGGUUACUCUGAGUGAUUUCCGCUAAGGGGAUCUUUUGGCACCUCUAAAAAUGGUGCAGAAUAAGGGGUGGGCAAGUCUGGUGUCAGCCGCCGCGGUAAUACCAGCACCCCGAGUGGUCGGGACGAUUAUUGGGCCUAAAGCAUCCGUAGCCGGUUCUGCAAGUCUUCCGUUAAAUCCAGCCGCUCAACGGAUGGGCCGCGGAGGAUACUACAGGACUAGGAGGCGGGAGAGGCAAGCGGUACUCAGUGGGUAGGGGUAAAAUCCUUUGAUCCAUUGAAGACCACCAGUGGCGAAGGCGGCUUGCCAGAACGCGCUCGACGGUGAGGGAUGAAAGCUGGGGGAGCAAACCGGAUUAGAUACCCGGGUAGUCCCAGCUGUAAACGAUGCAGACUCGGUGAUGGGCUAGCCUUGUGCCAGCCCAGUGCCGCAGGGAAGCCGUUAAGUCUGC
rnacentral:rRNA from 1 species